UACGAAGGGGGCUAGCGUUGUUCGGAAUUACUGGGCGUAAAGCGCGCGUAGGCGGACUUGUCAGUCAGGGGUGAAAGCCCGAGGCUUAACCUCGGAACUGCCUUUGAUACUGCAAGUCUUGAGGAUGAGAGAGGUAAGUGGAACUGCGAGUGUAGAGGUGAAAUUCGUAGAUAUUCGCAAGAACACCAGUGGCGAAGGCGGCUAACUGG
rnacentral:rRNA from 1 species